rnacentral:tRNA from 1 species
GGUCUCUUAGCUCAGUUGGUUAGAGCGUGGUGCUAAUAACGCCAAGGUCGCAGGUUCGACCCCUGCAGGGAUCA